AGUGAACGCUGGCGGUAGGCCUAACACAUGCAAGUCGAACGGCAGCACAGGAGAGCUUGCUCUCUGGGUGGCGAGUGGCGGACGGGUGAGGAAUACAUCGGAAUCUACUCUGUCGUGGGGGAUAACGUAGGGAAACUUACGCUAAUACCGCAUAAGACCUACGGGUGAAAGCAGGGGACCUUCGGGCCUUGCGCGAUUGAAUGAGCCGAUGUGGGAUUAGCUAGUUGGCGGGGUAAAGGCCCACCAAGGCGACGAUCCGUAGCUGGUCUGAGAGGAGGAUCAACCAAGCUGAAACUAGGACACGGUCCAGACGCCUACGGAAGGCAGCAGUGGGAAAUAUUGGACAAUGGGCGCAAGCCUGAUCCAGCCAUACCGCGUGGGUGAAGAAGGCCUUCGGGUUGUAAAGCGCUUUUGUUGAGAAAGAAAUCCAGCUGGCUAAUACCCGGUUGGGAUGACGGUACCCAAAGAAUAAGCACCGGCUAACUUCGUGCCAGCCGCCGCCGUAA
rnacentral:rRNA from 1 species